GUGUCAGCCGCCGCGGUAAUACGGAGGGUGCGAGCGUUAAUCGGAAUUACUGGGCGUAAAGCGUGCGUAGGCGGCCCGUUAAGUCAGAUGUGAAAGCCCCGGGCUCAACCUGGGAACUGCAUUUGAAACUGGCGGGCUAGAGUUGGGUAGAGGGGAGCGGAAUUUCAGGUGUAGCGGUGAAAUGCGUAGAUAUCUGAAGGAACACCAGUGGCGAAGGCGGCUCCCUGGACCCAAACUGACGCUGAGGUACGAAAGCGUGGGUAGCAAACAGGAUUAGAUACCCGCGUAGUCC
rnacentral:rRNA from 1 species